CAAUAGCAUAUAUUAACGUUGUUGCAGUUGAAAAGCUCGUAGUUGAACUUUUGUAGGAGCGACCUGGCCUUGGGCGCAUGCCCUUGUUUGCCGUGUGUCGUGUCUGGCCAUCCUUUUCUUCUGUUUGGAAGGAAUCCUUUACUGUGAGUAAACUGGAGUGCUCAAAACAAGACGUUUGUUUGGUACAUUAAAGCAUGGAAUAAUAAGAUAGGACCUGGUUACUAUUUUGUUGGUUUGCAUAGCUAGGUAAUGAUUAACAGGGACAGUUGGGGGUAUUCGUAUUUAAUUGUCAGAGGUGAAAUUCUUGGAUUUAUGAAAGACGAACGACUGCGAAAGCAUUUACCAAGGAUGUUUUCAUUAA
rnacentral:rRNA from 1 species